GGCAUCAUGGCACAGUGGUUUGAGCACUGGACUACAAUUCUGGAGACCAGGGUUCGAUUCACCGCUCAGCCA